UAGUCAUACCUUUGCAUCAAAGCUUUUAAGGGGAGGUGUCAAAUUAAAAGAAUUAAUCUUGAAUCUGCGAAUGGUUCAUUAUAUCAGUUAUAGUUUACCCUUUAAAAAAAAGCUACACGGAUAACUGUGGCAUUUCUAGAGCUAAUACGUGCGUCAGGACUUUUCCCGUUUUGGGGGAGUGUUGUAUUUAUUAGUUGUAAAACCGACUCUGCGCAAGCAGGUUUGUGGUGAAUCAUAAUAAUUGCAGCGAACCGCUUGUCUCACGACGGCGGUGAACCGUUCAAGUUUCUGCCCUAUUAGUUUUCGAAGGUCGUGUAUUGGACAACCUUGUUUUUUUUGGGUGACGGAGAAUUAGGGUUCGUUUCGGGAGAGGGAGCCUUACAAACGGUUCCUACAUCCAAGGAAGGCAGCAGUGGCGAAACGUACCUAAUCCUG
rnacentral:rRNA from 1 species